AUACGGAAGGUCCGGGCGUUAUCCGGAUUUAUUGGGUUUAAAGGGUGCGUAGGCGGCCUUGUAAGUCAGCGGUGAGAUUUUGCAGCUUAACUGUAAAAGUGCCGUUGAUACUGUGAGGCUAGGAUUUGGUUGCUGUGGGUGGAAUGUGUGGUGUAGCGGUGAAAUGCUUAGAGAUCACACAGAAUAUCGAUUGCGAAGGCAGCUCACAAAGCCAAGAUUGACGCUGAGGCACGAAAGUGUGGGGAUCAAACAGGAUUAGAUACCCUGGUAGUCCACACUGUAAACGAUGAUAACUCGCUGUCGGCGAUAUACAGUCGGUGGCCAAGCGAAAGCGAUAAGUUAUCCACCUGGGGAGUACGACCGCAAGGUUGAAACUCAAAUGAAUUGGCGGGG
rnacentral:rRNA from 1 species